GACGAACGCUGGCGGCGUGCUUAACACGUGCAAGUCGAACGAUGAACUUGGAGCUUGCUCUGGGGGAUUAGUGGCGAACGGGUGAGUAACACGUGAGUAACCUGCCCUGGACUCUGGGAUAACUUCGAGAAAUCGGAGCUAAUACCGGAUAGGACCUUGCACCGCAUGGUGUGGGGUGGAAAGUUUUUCGGUUUGGGAUGGACUCGCGGCCUAUCAGCUUGUUGGUGAGGUAAUGGCUCACCAAGGCGUCGACGGGUAGCCGGCCUGAGAGGGUGACCGGCCACCCUGGGACUGAGACACGGCCCGGAGUCCUACGGGAGGCAGCAGUGGGGAAUAUUGCACAAUGGGCGCAAGCCUGAUGCAGCAACGCCGCGUGCGGGAUGACGGCCUUCGGGUUGUAAACCGCUUUUAGUAGGGAAGAAGCCUUCGGGUGACGGUACCUGCAGAAAAAGGACCGGCUAACUACGUGCCAGCCGCCGCGGUAACAC
rnacentral:rRNA from 1 species